AUUGAACGCUAGCGGGAUGCCUUACACAUGCAAGUCGAACGGAGUGGCGAACGGGUGAGUAAUGUAUCGGAACGUGCCCAGUAGCGGGGGAUAACUACGCGAAAGCGUAGCUAAUACCGCAUACUAUUUGAGCGGCCGAUACCGGAAUAGCUAGUUGGGGGGGUAAAGGCUCACAAGGGCGACGAGCCGUAGCUGGUUUGAGAGGGCGACCAGCCACACUGGGACGGGGACACGGCCAAGACUCCUACGGGAGGAAGAAGUGGGGAAUUUUGGACAAUGGGGGAAACCCGGAUCCAGCCAUCCCGCGUGUGCGAUGAAGGCCUUCGGGUUGUAAAGCACUUUUGGCAGGAAAGCGGUACCUGCAGAAUAAGCACCGGCUAACUACGUGCCAGCCGCCGCGGUAAUAC
rnacentral:rRNA from 1 species